rnacentral:rRNA from 1 species
AUUGAACGCUGGCGGUAUGCUUAACACAUGCAAGUCGAACGGUAACAGGCCUUCGGGCGCUGACGAGUGGCGGACGGGUGAGUAACGCGUAGGAAUCUGCCUCAUAGUGGGGGACAACGUGUGGAAACGCACGCUAAUACCGCAUACGCCCUACGGGGGAAAGCGGGGGACCUUCGGGCCUCGCGCUAUGAGAUGAGCCUGCGUUAGAUUAGCUAGUUGGUAGGGUAAAGGCCUACCAAGGCGACGAUCUAUAGCUGGUCUGAGAGGACGAUCAGCCACACUGGGACUGAGACACGGCCCAGCCGCCUACGGGAGGCAGCAGUGGGGAAUAUUGGACAAUGGGCGCAAGCCUGAUCCAGCAAUACCGCGUGUGUGAAGAAGGCCCUAGGGUUGUAAAGCACUUUCAAUAGGGAGGAAAACCUGUCGGUCAAUACCCGGCAGCUUGACAUUACCUAUACAAGAAGCACCGGCUAACUCCGUGCCAGCAGCCGCAGUAAAAC